AUUCUGACCCUCCCCCGCCACCCCCUCCUCCUCCUCCUAAAGAUACCAAAUCUCAAACUGCUUCCACUGUCACUACAACAGAGACCCCACCCCCACCCCCUCCCCCUCCCACUGUUACACCGACAGGCCCCACAGGGCAAAAACAGAGACCCCCUAUUGUACAUCAGAUAGGCACCGUAGGACGACCCAUAGGAAGCCCAAUAGUACGACAACCGGGAGCUACAGUACAACAACCAAGUUCAACAGGACAACAACAGGCUUCCACAGUGAAUCAACAACCAGGGCCCCCAGGGGUUAACCCUGUUGUGCAGGCUAUUGUAGACAAUGCUUUAGAUACUCCUAGAAAAUAUUUGUCUGAACCCCUAAAGUUAAGGCAAACUUCCGCUGAAGAGAAAGGCGUAUGACGGACAGUGUGAGAUUUGUAAGGUGAGUUACACGUCUGAGAGCCAUGAGAGACAACACCUGAUGGGAAGUAAGCACGCCAAGAAAGCCAAGAUAGCAGCAGCAGCUGAAGGAAAAGUUCCCCUAGCAGCAUUCACUGGGUUUAACUGCACAUAUUGCAAUGUGGUCCUGAACUCUCUAGAUCAACUGACUGCACACAGAGAAGGACAAAAACAUAAGACCACAGUGUCAAAGCUGCAGAAACAAGGAAAGAUUCAGGAAGAGUGUAAAGAUGUGACGAUCGUAAAAGUGUAGAACACGUUAAACAAUAAUUUAAGGACCUUUUAGAAAUAUUCAAUUGAUUGGAUUUUAAAGCGUUUUGGAAAUUUACAGUACUGUUAAAUAUUGUACACACUAAAUAUAAUACUUUAUAUUUAAAGUACAUGUAUUUCAAGACUGUCGGUCAAAAUUUUACAGCAGGGAAUUUAGUACAUAUAUGUAAGGUUGGUGGGAUUUUAUGACGCAACACAGCAAGUUCAAGUGGAAUAUAAUUCUUCUCUGUAGAAAGUUAAGUUUUCUGUGGACAGCUCCAUAUUCUUUUUAUGUUCUCAUGCAAUCAUCAUACUCUUCAAGAGAAAUAUCAUGCAUGAAUAUUACACAUCCCCUUAUCAUAUGAAAUGCUCAAGAGUUAUGUUAGUUUUUCAUUCAUCAGUGUGUCGUUAGAGCUGUCAGUGAUAAUGCCUUCUCUGGUGCAUUUUUUGGCACACAAUUUUAUUUAUGUGUAUUUUUCAGAGAUACAAAUGAAUGUACAUCAUUUGUACAAUACUUUGCAAAUUGUUGAACAUAUACACCUAUUGCUUUGUAUUACCAGGAACUGGUUUAUUUUACUGAUAAAUUUUUAUCCUGCUGUUAAAAUUAAGCUUAUAUAAUGAGUGAAAUGAAAUUUUGUUAAUGAUUUUGUUUAUUCAUUAAACGCCACAUCUAAUGUAAUAAACUUUUAGGCA
rnacentral:misc_RNA from 1 species